AGUGAACGCUGGCGGUAGGCCUAACACAUGCAAGUCGAACGGCAGCACAGUAAGAGCUUGCUCUUACGGGUGGCGAGUGGAGGACGGGUGAGGAAUACAUCGGAAUCUACUUUUUCGUGGGGGAUAACGUAGGGAAACUUACGCUAAUACCGCAUACGACCUACGGGUGAAAGCAGGGGAUCUUUGGACCUUGCGCGAUUGAAUGAGCCGAUGUCGGAUUAGCUAGUUGGCGGGGUAAAGGCACACCAAGGCGACGAUCCGUAGCUGGUCUGAGAGGAUGAUCAGCCACACUGGAACUGAGACACGGUCCAGACUCCUACGGGAGGCAGCAGUGGGGAAUAUUGGACAAUGGGCGCAAGCCUGAUCCAGCCAUACCGCGUGGGUGAAGAAGGCCUUCGGGUUGUAAAGCCCUUUUGUUGGGAAAGAAAAGCAGCAGGUUAAUACCCCGCUGUUCUGACGGUACCCAAAGAAUAAGCACCGGCUAACUUCGUG
rnacentral:rRNA from 1 species